rnacentral:rRNA from 1 species
UGGGGAAUAUUGGACAAUGGGCGCAAGCCUGAUCCAGCCAUGCCGCGUGAGUGAAGAAGGCCUUCGGGUUGUAAAGCUCUUUCGGCGGGGACGAAACGGUUCGUGACAACACCACGGACUAAUGACGGUACCCGCAUAAGAAGCACCGGCUAACUACGUGCCAGCAGCCGCGGUAAUACGUAGGGUGCAGGCGUUAAUCGGAAUUACUGGGCGUAAAGCGUGCGCAGGCGGUUUGUUAAGACAGGUGUGAAAUCCCCGGGCUUAACCUGGGAAUUGCGCUUGUAACUGGCAGACUGGAGUGUGGCAGAGGGGGGUGGAAUUCCAAGUGUAGCAGUGAAAUGCGUAGAUAUUUGGAGGAACACCGAUGGCGAAGGCAGCCCCCUGGGCUAACACUGACGCUCAUGCACGAAAGCGUGGGGAGCAAACAGGAUUAGAUACCCACUAGUCCCUGAGCGGGCUGGCAAGGCGCAU